AUGUACCCUACUUUUAAAAAGAAGGCUGUACCUGAAGCAGUCCAUUCUGAGCACAGGGAAAAGCAAACCCUCACAGCUGGAGCAAAAGUGGCCAGCAGCAGCCCAUGGACCCAGGAAGACCAGAAGGCCUGCAGACAUGUCCUUUGGGGAGGAGGCUGCCCUGCUGCUCCCUGUCCUGAGGACAAGCCGCCCUGUUGCUGCCUGGCUGCUGGAGGACUGCCUACAAUGAAACAGCUCUCCCACAUGAUGAAGAGAGUACCAUGUCAACUUGUAUGCAUACUGGUGAUGGUGAUAUGUGCAGAAAAGAAUAAAAUAGCAUGAGCAGGAUAGCAAGUCUUCAAGUGACAAGAAGAGUUUCCAAAGGGACAGAGACAUCAGUCUAUAGAUCUGGAACAGUGGGUUUGAAGCACCCCAUGGUGAUUUGCUCAUCUCGCUAAGCUACACACCAGGAGAGCAG
rnacentral:lncRNA from 1 species